GUACACGCUGUGACUAGCAUAUCAAUAAGCGGAGGAAAAGAAACUAACAAGGAUUCCCCUAGUAACGGCGAGUGAAGCGGGAAGAGCUCAAAUUUGAAAUCUUAAAGGGUUUCCCUUUACGAAUUGUAGUUUAAAGAAGUGUUUUCUGUUGAGGUUUUGGUAAAAGUUCUUUGGAAUAGGACAUCAUAGAGGGUGAGAAUCCCGUAUUUGACCUUUACUUUCAACUUUGUGAUACACUUUCAAAGAGUCGGAUUGUUUGGGAAUGCAGUCCAAAAUGGGUGGUAAAUUUCAUCUAAAGCUAAAUAUUGGCGAGAGACCGAUAGCGAACAAGUACCGUGAGGGAAAGAUGAAAAGAACUUUGAAAAGAGAGUUAAACAGUACGUGAAAUUGUCAAAAGGGAAGCGUUUGACACCAGUGUUCGUUUUUCUGAAAAUCAAUUAAAGAACUGUUUAUGCUAAGCUGUUUAGACUUUAUCAGCUAUCUGUUUAGUUUUGAGCUUUUCUUUAAUGCACUUUUCAGUUAACAAGUCAACAUCAAUUUCUUUUGCUGUAAAAAAGCUUGAGGAAGGUGGCUUGAGAUUCGUCUUAAGUGUUUAUAGCCUCUUGCCUAUGCAGUCGGAGAGAUUGAGGUCUGCAGCGUAGAUCCUUCGGGGCUAAAUGCAUUUGUGCUAAGUUAUAGCAUUUUAUAGACAACUUGUUGACUAUGAUUUGUCUUGCUAGCUUACUCGCUUAUGUUAUUUUACCUACGCUUAGGAUGUUGAAGAUGUAGCACAUCAU
rnacentral:rRNA from 1 species